CCUCCUCCCGCGCCGUUCUCCGCCCCACUGUUCCUCCCGCGGAGCCGCCCGCCGCGCCCUUCGCCGCGGUAGCUGCCGCCGGAGCCACCCAUCGCGCCCUUUUCCGCGGGAGCCGCCGCAGGUCAUUGCGGGAGUAUUCUUGGGAGCCGCUGCGGGAGCCGCCUAUCGCGCCCUUCGCCGCGGUAGUCGCCGCCGGAGCCGUCCGCAAUAGGUGUCGUUGGCAUGCCACCGGAGGCCCGAUCUGGGCGAGAGGAACCAUCGCCUCGCUCCUUCGAUGCCGGGUCGGGAUUCGCUGGCUCGGAUCUACGGAUGUUCCUCCUCCGGUUAGCCGUGCCAGAGCCCUCCUCCUCCCUUCUCUCUCCCUCUCCUCACUAAUCUCUCUUCCUCUCUCCAUUCCCGUGCUGCAGGACACCAUGGCCAUAGACCAAGCUCCGCCAGACCUUCCCUCGCGACUGCCGGCCUUCCUCUAGACAACAACAGCGAUGCCCGGGUCUGCCCCGCCGCCAUUCGUUUCUGCCUUGCCUAGCCGCACUGCGUAUCCAGACCACCUCCCCAGAUAGCGCCGCCGUCGUCCCUAAGGCGGCGCCGGUCUCGGCCGCGGCGCAGGAGGUGUUGCCAUCGCCGUCCAUGUCGUCAUCUGGCUGGACCAUCGAGGAUCUCCUGCAGUUCUCCGUAGGAACACCGAUCAUGUAUCACAAAUCAAUCAGAAGAAAUGCAUGGCGCAGAUGGUGUUACUUGUUGUUCUAGGUGUGGUGAUCUCAACAUUUUUGCUUGACGCUGCUAUAAGUGGACGCUUAGUGCAACCGGUGAUGUUACUAUCAUUGCUCUUCUGAAAGACCUAGGCGCAAGCAACAAUUUCAGUAUGAUAAUCAAAGGAGAAUCCUUAAUGAACGACGGGGCCCAUAAUAAAGUUUUUGUCAGAAGUUUCACUUGGAGCGUAUGUGAAUAUUUUAUAGGUCCAAACUAGAUGAUACAAAACCAUGCUACCAAUGCUAAUCUCUAUCUUCUUUGACCAGUGUUGCUCUGGGCCUUGUAUUGGAAUUGCAUCUCUACUAUGGAUGGGCUAUAUUUUCGAUGAUACAAUCAUACAGAUUUCACUUACCCUCGCAGUCAGAUAUAUUGCUUUCUUCACUGUAAGAUAAUCAGAUAACAGACAUAUCGAGGCUCUUACAUGUCUAUUUUUAUCUCUAGAAGUACAUGAUUUGCUCAGUGUUUUGAAAUGGUUUAUAGCUCCAGUAAUAGAAUGGUUGUCAAGCAACCCUUUUUGCAACACUGGGAUGCUGUUUUAAUGGCUUGUGAUGGCAAUCCAGGGUCAUUUCUGGAUGCAUUCAUGUGUGCCGAUGAGGUAUCCAUGUACUCAUGUAAUAUUAAAUUUUUUAUGUUGUCAUUUUCUUACCCUGGCAGUACGACUGUGUAUAAGGUACUCUGAGACUGCUAGAAAAGUAUCUUUGCUUUUAACUAUUUCCCCAUGAAACUAUGUACUAUUUAUCUCUGAUAUUGUGUGUUGAUCAUUGAACAACUUAAUAACUUUUAA